rnacentral:lncRNA from 1 species
GAGCAGUAAGAUAAUUUAUGUUAUUAGAAACUUGGAGAAAAUGAGCAAUCUUUAAACACCUUGGUAAACAGAGAUGGUACCGGACGUUUGAAGCACAGCAAUUGCAGGAAGUCUUUUAUUCAUUUCAGAGGGGAGGAAUCCCCCCUACCUCCCUGAUUCAGCAUCGUUUGCUGUUUGCUAAGAAACUCUUGGAUGCUGUGGCAUUGCUUUCUGGGAAGAUAAGCCAUGACCCUUAUGGCAAGA